GAUGAACGCUGGCGGCGUGCCUAAUACAUGCAAGUCGAGCGAACAGACGAGGAGCUUGCUCCUCUGACGUUAGCGGCGGACGGGUGAGUAACACGUGGAUAACCUACCUAUAAGACUGGGAUAACUUCGGGAAACCGGAGCUAAUACCGGAUAAUAUAUUGAACCGCAUGAUUCAAUAGUGAAAGACGGUUUUGCUGUCACUUUUAGAUGGAUCCGCGCCGCAUUAGCUAGUUGGUAAGGUAACGGCUUACCAAGGCAACGAUGCGUAGCCGACCUGAGAGGGUGAUCGGCCACACUGGAACUGAGACACGGUCCAGACUCCUACGGGAGGCAGCAGUAGGGAAUAUUCCGCAAUGGGCGAAAGCCUGACGGAGCAACGCCGCGUGAGUGAUGAAGGUCUUCGGAUCGUAAAACUCUGUUAUUAGGGAAGAACAAAUGUGUAAGUAACUAUGCACGUCUUGACGGUACCUAAUCAGAAAGCCACGGCUAACUACGUG
rnacentral:rRNA from 1 species